GAUGAAGAACGCAGCGAAAUGCGAUAAGUAAUGUGAAUUGCAGAAUUCAGUGAAUCAUCGAAUCUUUGAACGCACCUUGCACCCUUUGGCAUUCCGAAGGGUAUGCUCGUUUGAGUGUCAUUGUACUCUCACACUUCUGAUCCUUUGGAUUGGGAGCGGUGGACUUGGGUGUUGCUGCUUUACUGUGGCUCACCUCAAAUGCAUUCGUGCAACUUUUGGUUGGGCAUAGUACGGCGUGAUAAGUAUCUUCGCCGGCACCUCGCAAGAGGGUGGCUGAUCAGGAGCUCUGUGCUUUCCAACUGUCUUCAGACAACAACUGACAACUUGACCUCAAAUCGAGUAGGACCACCCGCUGAACUUAAGCAUAUCAAUAAGCGGAGGA
rnacentral:misc_RNA from 1 species